rnacentral:rRNA from 1 species
GACGAACGCUGGCGGCGUGCUUAACACAUGCAAGUCGAACGGAAAGGCCCUGCUUUUGUGGGGUGCUCGAGUGGCGAACGGGUGAGUAACACGUGAGUAACCUGCCCUUGACUUUGGGAUAACUUCAGGAAACUGGGGCUAAUACCGGAUAGGAGCUCCUGCUGCAUGGUGGGGUUGGAAAGUUUCGGCGGUUGGGGAUGGACUCGCGGCUUAUCAGCUUGUUGGUGGGGUAGUGGUUUACCAAGGCUUUGACGGGUAGCCGGCCUGAGAGGGUGACCGGCCACAUUGGGACUGAGAUACGGCCCAGACUCCUACGGGAGGCAGCAGUGGGGAAUAUUGCACAAUGGGCGGAAGCCUGAUGCAGCAACGCCGCGUGCGGGAUGACGGCCUUCGGGUUGUAAACCGCUUUCGCCUGUGACGAAGCGUGAGUGACGGUAAUGGGUAAAGAAGCACCGGCUAACUACGUG